rnacentral:misc_RNA from 1 species
ACUAUUCGACUUCCAACAGUUAUCCCGGCUUUCGGGUAAAUUCCACGUUAAACAGAAUGGAUACCGAUGAUGUUGAAUCAACUUCAAGCAGUGCAAUGUCUAAAAUAGGAGCUCUAUUUACUUUCACUUCUCCAGCAGUUAAAAAAUUACUCGGUUGGAAACAGGGAGAUGAAGAGGAGAAAUGGGCAGAAAAAGCAGUCGACAGUUUGGUCAAAAAAUUAAAAAAAAGACAGGGUGCUAUUGAAGAAUUAGAGAGGGCGUUAUCAUGUCCAGGGCAGCCAUCAAAAUGCGUGACUAUACCAAGAUCAUUAGACGGAAGAUUACAGGUUUCACAUCGCAAAGGUCUGCCACAUGUCAUUUAUUGUCGCGUAUGGCGCUGGCCCGAUCUGCAGUCACAUCAUGAACUUAAACCAUUAGAGAUAUGUCAAUAUCCCUUUAGUGCUAAACAGAAGGAAGUAUGCAUUAAUCCCUAUCAUUAUAAAAGGGUUGAAAGUCCCGUUUUACCCCCCGUAUUAGUACCGCGUCACUCGGAAUUUGCACCGGGUCAUUCAAUGCUACAGUUCAAUAAUAUCGGCGAGUCGACAAUGCCACACAAUGUCAGCUAUUCAACCGCCGGGUUUAACAAUCAUCUCAGUCCCAACAGCCCGCCUAUGACAUCGGUUGGCAGUCCUAGUUCUGUUAAUUCCAAUCCAAAUUCACCAUACAGUAGCAUGGCUGAGACACCUCCCCCAGCCUACAGUCCCUCUGAGGAUGGUAAUUCAAAUAAUCCGAAUGAUGGUUCGCAAAUGCUAGACGCUCCUAUGGGCGAUGUGGCCCAGGUUAGUUACCAAGAACCAGCAUUUUGGGCUUCGAUUGCGUACUAUGAAUUGAACUGUCGUGUGGGUGAAGUAUUUCAUUGCAAUAAUAGUUCAGUGAUCGUUGACGGUUUUACAAAUCCUUCAAACAAUUCGGAUCGUUGCUGUUUGGGUCAGUUGAGUAACGUUAAUCGCAACAGUACAAUCGAAAACACCAGACGUCAUAUAGGAAAAGGUGUUCAUCUCUAUUAUGUUACCGGCGAAGUUUAUGCUGAAUGUCUCUCCGAUUCAGCCAUAUUUGUGCAAUCACGCAAUUGUAAUUAUCAUCACGGCUUCCACCCUAGCACUGUGUGCAAAAUACCACCAGGUUGUUCAUUAAAAAUCUUUAAUAAUCAAGAAUUUGCUCAACUACUAUCACAAUCCGUCAAUAAUGGCUUCGAGGCCGUUUAUGAACUUACAAAAAUGUGUACAAUACGCAUGUCAUUUGUGAAGGGCUGGGGAGCGGAAUACCAUCGACAGGAUGUGACUUCAACGCCUUGCUGGAUUGAAAUCCAUUUACAUGGACCAUUGCAAUGGUUAGAUAAAGUUCUUAUACAAAUGGGUUCACCACACAAUGCAAUAAGUUCGGUGUCGUAAAACUAUUGAAUACGCUAAUACAGGAUGAGAAAAACAACAACAUAAAAGUUGUAAGCAUAUUAAGGAGACGAUAAACAGAUGUUUUAUUUUCAUUUAAUUUUAAGAAAGAUAUAUAGAGUUAAGACGAUGAUUUGGGAAGAUGCGAUGAUAAUAAGGAAAAAGAUUGAAAAGCAGUUUAAAAGACCAUCAUUUCUAUUUUUAUUGUCCUUUUUUUAUAUUUUGUUUGAAAAGCAACAAAAAGUAAUGCCUACUAGUAAAAAUUUCAUAAAUAUUUGUGAAAUUUACAAUCGUUUUGUAGUGCUUUUGACGUACAAAGAUACGACAUCGAAUGUAAAUUGAACAAUUAAUUUAUUUUUCAUACAAAUUAUUGUAUGUUUUAAUUAAAAAAAUAAUAAUAAUAAAAAAGUAUCAUUAUUAAAAAUUA